rnacentral:rRNA from 1 species
GACGAACGCUGGCGGCGUGCUUAACACAUGCAAGUCGAACGAUGAAGCUGGAGCUUGCUCCGGUGGAUUAGUGGCGAACGGGUGAGUAACACGUGAGCAAUCUGCCCUUGAUUCUGGGAUAACUGCGGGAAACUGUAGCUAAUACCGGAUACGAGGCUCGAAGGCAUCUUCGGGUCUGGAAAGAAUUUCGGUCAAGGAUGAGCUCGCGGCCUAUCAGCUUGUUGGUGAGGUAAUGGCUCACCAAGGCGACGACGGGUAGCCGGCCUGAGAGGGUGACCGGCCACACUGGGACUGAGACACGGCCCAGACUCCUACGGGAGGCAGCAGUGGGGAAUAUUGCACAAUGGGCGAAAGCCUGAUGCAGCAACGCCGCGUGAGGGAUGAAGGCCUUCGGGUUGUAAACCUCUUUUAGCAGGGAAGAAGCGAAAGUGACGGUACCUGCAGAAAAAGCACCGGCUAACUACGUGCCAGCAGCCGCGGUAA